rnacentral:rRNA from 1 species
AUGGCGCUCAGCCUCAUGCCCCCUUCAAGCAUUGCCCUCCUCACCCCACGGGGUCGCGUCAGAGUCGGGCCAGCGGCGCCGCCGCCGCCGCCGGCGUCCAGCGUCCGCGCCGCCUCCUCUUCCAGAAGGCGCAAUGGUGGGAGGAGGAGGGGGCUGGCCGUCGUGGCGGCCUCGGAGGGCGGCCAGGAGGAGGAGGAGGAGGAGGGGCCCACGGCGGCGGCGGGGAGGAUGAACCUCAACGAGUACAUGGUCGCCGUCGACCGCCCGCUCGGCCUCCGCUUCGCGCUCGCCGUCGACGGCCGCGUCUUCGUGCACUCUCUCAAGAGAGGGGGAAAUGCGGAGAAGUCGCGGAUCAUAAUGGUUGGGGACACUCUCAAGAAGGCAGGCACUGACCACAAUGAGGGUCUUGUUCGCAUAAAAGACCUAGGUGACACGGAGUAUGGCACUAGUAAAGUUUCUAUUGCUGAAACCUUCUUCGUAUUCUUCAAGUAUCACAGAAAGAUCAUUGUGCUAGAUAGGAGGAUGGUUCUAAACCAAGAGUCAGGACCAUGCAAUCUUGUCCUUGAAAGGCCAGUUGCGCCUUAUCCAAUACACCAGUUGCAUCAAAAUGAAGAUUAUCAUAUCCUAUUUAACAGAGGGAGGGUUUCUCUUCCGACCUGGAAUAGUGCUAUGUUGUCCUCAAAGCUGAAUAAAUCAUCUCCAGGAAAUGGGAAAUCUGGUUUUGCUGUAUUUUCCCCAAGGCUACUAAGUUCCCAAGGAUGGGCGCUUUUAUCUAGUGAGAAAGACGGACUCAAUAGGAGGAGUACGAACCUUGCAAAUUGGAUGAGUGAGAUUGUUGGCUUUUACUCUGAUGAGGAUGACAUGGAUGCUGAAUGGGCACAUGGUAGUUUUCCUUUGGAGGAGUACAUUAAAGCCCUAGACCGUGCUAAAGGUGAACUGUACUAUAAUCAUUCACUUGGUAUGCAAUACAGCAAGAUUACUGAGCAAAUAUAUGUUGGAUCAUGCAUACAAACACAAAAGGAUGUGAAGAUGUUAUCAGAGACGGUGGGUAUUACUGCUGUCCUGAAUUUCCAAAGUGAAAGUGAGCGCAUUAAUUGGGGAAUAAAUUCUGAGGCAAUCAACGAUUCUUGUCGUCAGAACAACAUCUUGAUGAUUAACUACCCUAUCCGAGAGGUUGAUUCCAUGGACCUGAGAAAGAAGCUUCCUUUUUGUGUUGGUCUUCUUUUGCGCCUAAUAAGGAAGAACUACCGUAUAUAUGUGACUUGUACCACUGGAUAUGAUAGAUCACCAGCAUGUGUGAUUGCAUAUCUACAUUGGGUUCAAGAUACACCUCUUCAUAUUGCUCACAAGUUCAUCACUGGGUUGCAUUCAUGUAGACCUGACAGAGCUGCAAUUGUUUGGGCAACUUGGGAUCUCAUUGCAUUAGUUGAAAAUGGAAGACAUGAUGGCACUCCUACACAUUCAGUGUGCUUUGUUUGGAACAAUGGUCGGGAGGGUGAGGACGUGGAAUUGGUGGGGGAUUUUACAAGUAACUGGAAAGACAAAUUAAAGUGUAACCACAAGGGCGGAUCCAGAUAUGAAGCUGAGGUUCGACUUCGACAUGGAAAGUACUACUACAAGUUCAUAGUUGGGGGUAAUUGGAGGCACUCGAGUUUGUUGCCGUCAGAGACAGAUGAACACGGAAACGUCAACAAUGUGAUCAGAGUCGGUGACAUCGCCCGGAUUCGUCCUGCUCCCAGCCAAUUGCAGAUAAAGGAUCCAUCUGUUGUUAAGGUGAUAGAGAGGGCACUGACUGAGGAUGAGCGGUUUUCGCUGGCGUUUGCGGCACGCCUCAUGGCAUUUGCAAUCUGCCCAAUCAGAUUGGCUCCAAAGCAGUAG